UUAUAAUAAUAGACAGAAACAAGUCCAAACCAUAAUUACUUCAUAUACUAAAUAUUAAAAUAUAAAAAUACUAUUUCUUUUCCAGCUUAAACUAUCUACACUCUUAUAUGAAUCCCCAAUAUGAAAUGAUGACUUGACAAGCUCUCAUUUUUUUUAAUUUACGUUUCAUCUCCAUUUCUAAAUGCUCAACCCUUUACCUCUCUACAUUUAAUUACAUUCAUCAUAUUCCAUCAAUUAGUGAGCUUAAUUUGUAACUCCAAUCCACUCCCCUCCACCAUUAAUCCCCCCACCCCCUCUUUUUUGCAUAACAUGUUAUUUUCCAUGCAAAAAAGAAGAUUAUCAUCUAAUCUCUCACCUCGCACUCAUCUCCUUCUCUCUAUCUCAUUGUGUUAACA
rnacentral:lncRNA from 1 species